rnacentral:rRNA from 1 species
GACCUGGCUCAGGAUGAACGCUAGCUACAGGCUUAACACAUGCAAGUCGAGGGGCAGCGAUGAAGAAAGCUUGCUUUCUUCAGGCGGCGACCGGCGCACGGGUGAGUAACGCGUAUCGAACCUGCCUCAUACUCAGGAAUAGCCUUGCGAAAGUAAGAUUAAUGCCCGAUGUUAUUAGAGUAUCACAUGAUGCUUUAAUUAAAGAUUUAUCGGUAUGAGAUGGCGA